rnacentral:rRNA from 1 species
AUGACUGGUCUUUCAAAAAAACUGAGUGCACAAUCCAGUGAGCAUCCAGUUUCCUAUUCGUUAAAUGCACAACAUACAAAAAUUAAACAAUGCCUUAUCUAUGGACCGAGGUUGCAUGAUUCUGGUUCUAAGCCAAGAGCAGACAGAGAUCAGGGCUCUUCUAAUAGUGUGUAUUCAAUGGAUCGAAUGCAGGCAAGCUGCCAAAGAGAAAGAACAAGAUGCCGAGGUCCUGCAGUGGCUACGGUGGGGCGCACUGGUGUAGCCCAUGCGAGCGACACGGGAGUGAGCGACCAGGAACCAAAAGAUGCUGCCAAUAUUUAG